GUAAAAUAUGAAGCUAAAAUUAAGUGAUAAAAAUAACUCUGCAAAUAAAAUACACAACCAGUAAUAGUAUAUGACAAAAUCGAUCUUGUUAGUUAAACGAGAAACUAACCUCACUCUAAGCUCUUUACAACACCAAAAAUGCUUAAGUUGUAUGAUAAGUAAUAAGCUCACAUUGCCAUAAGCUUUGGACCGUUAUCAGGCAUGCCCAUCCCAGCAGCUAGCUCGGCAUCCAGUUGCGUGUGAGGUGCAGGACCCGUCAUUAGUUUUACCCGCUUCCUGUGACGCUUGGUCUUGAAAUGUUCAUCCCUCACAGACACAUUCGCAAAGUAUCGAUCGCAGUGCAAGCAGUAGUACUGCCCCAUUCCAGGCAAAUCUUCAUCGACAGGAAGAGAAGGCUUCUCCACCUCGAAUUUCGUCAACUCAUCGUAAACCAUAUCAUCGCCUUUGACAAGAAAUUUCGUGCGCCGAGCGGUCUUGUGCGAGUAUCUCCGCUUCUUUACGCUUCUGUGAGGGCACUUACCUCCCAUUUGCUUCUAUGUAUGGGGGAUUUCAAGUAUGGCAGCACCGGAAGAAAAAAUUAGGGUUUUAUCGGUGGCUGUUCCACCAGAG
rnacentral:misc_RNA from 1 species